rnacentral:rRNA from 1 species
CCUACGGGUGGCAGCAGUGGGGAAUAUUGGACAAUGGGCGAAAGCCUGAUCCAGCCAUGCCGCGUGUGUGAAGAAGGCCUUCGGGUUGUAAAGCACUUUCAGUGGGGAAGAAAGCCUUGGGGCUAAUACCCUCGAGGAAGGACAUCACCCACAGAAGAAGCACCGGCUAACUCCGUGCCAGCAGCCGCGGUAAUACGGAGGGUGCGAGCGUUAAUCGGAAUUACUGGGCGUAAAGCGCGCGUAGGCGGUCUGAUAAGCCGGUUGUGAAAGCCCCGGGCUCAACCUGGGAACGGCAUCCGGAGCUGUCAGGCUAGAGUGCAGGAGAGGAAGGUAGAAUUCCCGGUGUAGCGGUGAAAUGCGUAGAGAUCGGGAGGAAUACCAGUGGCGAAGGCGGCCUUCUGGACUGACACUGACGCUGAGGUGCGAAAGCGUGGGUAGCAAACAGGAUUAGAUACCCCAGUAGUC